rnacentral:rRNA from 1 species
UGCCAGCAUCCGCUGUACUACUGGAUUGGCAAGCGUUAUCCGGAAUUAUUGGGCGUAAAGAGCAUGUAGGCUGGUUUGUAAGUUGGAAGUGAAAUCCUAUGGCUUAACCAUAGAACUGCUUCCAAAACUGCAGACCUAGAGUAUGGGAGAGGUAGAUGGAAUUUCUGGUGUAGGGGUAAAAUCCGUAGAGAUCAGAAGGAAUACCGAUUGCGAAGGCGAUCUACUGGAACAUAACUGACGCUGAGAUGCGAGAGCGUGGGGAGCAAACAGGAUUAGAUA